CGAUCAUCCUUUUCACAGACUGUCUCAUGACUUCCACGGAGAUGAUGAUGCAGAGACCUGAAGGAGAUGAGAGCAGUGGGUAGAAUAACCGGUCUCCAUCCUUAACCACCUUUCUGCAUGCUGUGGGAUUCACAGGUCAUACGCUGAUGGAACAGCCCAUGGGCUCUGCAGUCAUUCAGGGCCACUGUGAACUUUGGGGACACAAUGUGUGGUUUAUCACAAACUGUCCUCCCUGCUCCAGGUCACCUGCAGCCCUCCUGGCCCCUUCCCUUCAGAUCCAUCACUGCUGGGGGGACGUGGACCAGUGGGGAACAAGGCAGAUCUGCUGGAAAACCAACGUCUGCAUCUCCACUCUCUGUUGCUCCAUUCGGGUUUCCCUGAUGGCUGCACAGCUGCUCUGUCCCCCCACGGACUGAGAUCAAUCCAACGAGCACACUGAGCACUGAGCAGCCCCAGCCCAUGGGGGCUGUGCUCUGCCCACCUCCCCAUGCUGAACAAAAAGGGGAUUUGGGUGCUGUUUUUAUGACGGAGUGUGAGGAAGGGCAGAGUGUGAGCAGCGUGCUCCUGGGCACACAACCACCUCCGUGAGAGGCAGCGAGUGACACACUCCCAAAUUUGGUUCGAGACAGAUCUGAGCGCUGCGACGGAGCCCCGCUCUUCAGAACACAUAAUUUGGCCAAAUAGAGGCGUUGCUGUGGCUCUGCUCCCCAACAUCUGCACCUUUCUGCAUUUCCUGCUGACCGACCUCAGUGCUCACCUCGAGCGCACCAACCAGGAUCUGCAGCUCCCUUCUUGCAGAAGACCCUCACCGCGUGACAAGGACUGAGGGUGGAGCAGAUUGGGUACGGCCUGAGGCUGAAAUCCUCACAGACGGGUACUCUACUUAUGCAACUAAUUCGCCACUGAUGUUUUAUGCCAUCAAGAAACCAUCUCUUAGGUUAUGAAUUUGGAGCAGAUUGACCAGAAGCUCAGCUGCAGAGCUGCAGCUGGUCUCAGCCUGGGAGCUGUGCAUGCUGCUGCAGGAGCUGCAUGGGGAGGUCUAUCUGAGAGCUUCCUGCAGCGGUUUGGCCCCGAGGUGUGAUCCUGCCUUGCUGCUCUCAUUAUUCAUUAACCAGCGCUUUGGUGCUCAGGAGCAUCCAUCACCCCGGGUGAGUUAUCCUCCACACUGGAGUUUCGGUACUUACAGCUCUAGCUGGCAGAAGGAUUUAAAAACCAUCACUUAAUACGACUUUAACAGAAGCACAGCUGCAGUCUGUAGGAUAUAACCGUGGAUUUAUUUCGCUACCUAUUACCAAUGAUUACAAAGAUCUCAGAAGAAUUACUAAUCCGCGGGAUUUCAAUUGCACCCUGUGAGUGUCAACUGCAGGUUUGCUACUACAGUGCAUUUAAUUCUUCCAGCAAAUGAUAGAUCUGCUCUAAUUGUGGGAACGGCUCUGGCUUUCCCCGCACAGCGUUUUAGGGGCUGUGAAUAACACGUCAGGGCUCCUGGUGCAGAAGGCACUGCCAUGCCAGUGCUGAUCCACUGAGCACGUUCCCCCCCACGUCCCCCUGCCCCAAACUUGGGGCUGCAUGCAUCCCCAGCAAGCCCAGAUUUUAAAGAUCCCACUGUUUAGUUUUAUGGCAGCUCACACAAACCUCUCCCAGCAUAACAGAGCCUCUGAGAUGGGACGGGCAUUUCUUUGAACCUUUUCAUUAUGAUGGGCCAAAUUAGAGGAAAUUCAUUCGGAGUACGAUUUAUUUUCCUUCCUGUGCAGGAAGAAUAAUUAAAAAUAGUCCUCUCAUUCUAAUAUCCUGUGGACAUAGGCCUUUCACUGACACACUGCUUCUGUGCAUAUAGGUUGGACAGACUGUAGGUGUUUCUUCAAUGACUUGUAAUUCAGUUGGUUGAAUUUAUUUGGAGUUGGUAGAAAAGCAGAAGUUUCACAGGCAACAGAGG